ACAAAUGGGGCUUGUGGGGUCCUUGGGUGGCAGGGGCUGAGCGUGGGAAAGUGAGCUUCAGGCCAGAGAAGCCACAAAAGGGCCAGCUGCGGGCCGUCCAGCGGCUGUGCCACUUCUACAGCGCCGUCAUGCCCAGCGAGGCCCAGUGUGUCAUCUACCAUGAGCUCCAGCUCUCCCUGGCCUGCAAGGUGGCCGACAAGGUGCUGGAGGGGCAGCUCCUGGAGACCAUCAGUCAGCUCUACCUGUCCCUGGGCACCGAGCGGGCCUACAAAUCCGCACUGGACUACACCAAACGAAGUCUGGGGAUUUUCAUUGACCUCCAGAAGAAAGAGAAGGAGGCGCAUGCCUGGCUGCAAGCAGGGAAGAUCUAUUACAUCUUGCGGCAGAGCGAGCUGGUGGACCUCUACAUCCAGGUGGCACAGAAUGUGGCCCUGUACACAGGCGACCCCAACCUGGGGCUGGAACUGUUUGAGGCAGCUGGAGACAUCUUCUUCGACGGGGCCUGGGAGCGGGAGAAAGCUGUGUCCUUCUACCGGGUGAGCUGGCCUGUGGGCUGAUGUGGGUGGGCCCCAGGGGGGCACCUUGAGGGCUGAGGCACAGGUGUGGCAGGGCCGCCCAUGCACAUGCUUAGUUUCCUAGUGGUUUCACCGGGAAUGAUAUUGACUGUGCCCCCCGCCCGGGACAAACACUUGGGGCCUGGACACAGCAAUGGCCUUACCCUUGCACCCGAUGAUCUCAAGAAACCUUGAGUGGGAAGUCCUGUCCCCAUCUUACAGAUGAGGAAACUGAGGAUCAGAGAGGCACAGGGACAUGUCAAAGGACACAAAGCAUGCCAGUGGGAGGGCCAGGGCCCAGGUCUGCAUGCACCCUGAAGCAGGGACAGCUUCUCCCUUCCUCUGAGCUCACAGUGUGGCUCAGCCCUGGGCACAGAUAAAUGUGGUGUUUUUAGAGCAGAGAGGAGUGCUGGCUCCCCCCAGUCAGACCCCUGGUGCCCAGGCGGGAGGGGCUGGUCUGAGGCUGCCGGGUGUAGCUGGAUGGGCCUCAGGUGACUCUUCAGCCCCUAGCUUGGGUGUCUGAACCGCCCUUUAACUCAGAGCACAGAGCUAUGUGGAGGCCCAGGGGUAGCUGGGGCGUGGGAAGCUCCGAGCAUAUGUUUGAGCUCUGAGGAGGGCACUGGGCAAGGUGGGUGCUGUGGGAAGCCUGACCCCACCUGCCUGUGUGGCAGGACCGGGCCCUGCCCCUGGCAGUGACUACAGGCAACCGCAAGGCGGAGCUGCGGCUGUGCAACAAGCUGGUGGCACUGCUGGCCACGCUGGAGGAGCCCCAGGAGGGCUUGGAGUUUGCCCACAUGGCCCUAGCACUCAGCAUCACCCUGGG
rnacentral:sRNA from 1 species